GAUGAAGAACGUAGUGAAAUGCGAUAAGUAAUGUGAAUUGCAGAAUUCAGUGAAUCAUCGAAUCUUUGAACGCACAUUGCGCCCGCUAGUAUUCUGGCGGGCAUGCCUGUUCGAGCGUCAUUUCAACCAUCAAGCCCUGUUUAGGCUUGUGUUGGGGCCCUGCGGUUGCCGCAGCCCCCUAAAUGCAGUGGCGGGCUCGUUGUCACUCCGAGCGCAGUAGCGUAUCUCGCUCUGGGCGUGGCGGCGGGUGCUAGCCGUGAAACACCAACUAAGGUUGACCUCGGAUCAGGUAGGAAUACCCGCUGAACUUAAGCAUAUCAAUAAGCGGAGGA
rnacentral:misc_RNA from 1 species